GGGGGUGUCACGGUUUCGACGGGGGUGCAGAGGCAGAAAUAGCGGGCGGAUGCGCCUGGCAUCCAUAAAACGGGCAUUUUUAUAAAUUAAAGAACAAAGAUAACACUGUUCUUCUCGCUGCUUAAUUAGCGAGCGUUCCACCUCGGAGGACCACGGCCGGGGAUGGGGCGUCGACUGGUGGUGAACGUGCGUGCGCUAAGCUUUGCGCGCACCAUGUACAAUGAAGCUACCAAGCCCCUGAGAGUGACGGCUCUCGCUCGGGCAAGGGAAUGCAAAUAACCGUCUGCGCCCGGAGAAGUUUCUGAGGAAGUGCUUUCGGACAGGAGUUCAACUCUCCUCACCUCCACU
rnacentral:tmRNA from 1 species